UACAGAGGUCUCGAGCGUUAGGCGGAAUCACUGGGCUUAAAGCGUGUGUAGGUGGAUCGUUAAGUACCUUGUGAAAUCCUACGGCUUAACCGUGGAACUGCUUGGUAUACUGGCGGUCUUGAGCCACUUAGGGGCUACCGGAACAAAUGGUGGAGCGGUGAAAUGCGUAGAUAUCAUUUGGAACGCCAACGGAGAAAUCAGGUAGCUGGGGGUGUGCUGACGCUGAGACACGAAAGCCAGGGGAGCGAACGGG
rnacentral:rRNA from 1 species